GGGUUGUUAGCUCAGUCGGUAGAGCAGCGGACUUUUAAUCCGUUGGUCGUGGGUUCGAAUCCCGCACAACCCACCA
rnacentral:tRNA from 1 species